rnacentral:rRNA from 1 species
AGGAUUAACGCUGGCGGCGUGCCUAACACAUGCAAGUCGAACGAGGUAGCAAUACCUAGUGGCAGACGGGUGAGUAACGCGUGGUCAACCUACCGUUGAGUGGGGGAUAACUAGCCGAAAGGUUAGCUAAUACCGCAUACGAGUCUCGGGGGCACCCUGGGCCUUAAAGGAGCAAUCCGCUCGAUGACGGGACCGCGUCCCAUUAGUUAGAUGGUGGGGUAAUGGCCUACCAUGGCUCCGAUGGGUAGCUGGUUUGAGAGAGCGACCAGCCACACUGGGACUGAGAAACGGCCCAGACUCCUACGGGAGGCAGCAGUGAGGAAUUUUCCGCAAUGGGCGAAAGCCUGACGGAGCGACGCCGCGUGUGGGAAGAAGGCCUUCGGGUCGUAAACCACUGUCGAAGGGGACGAUAAUGACGGUACCCUUGGAGGAAGCCCCGGCUAACUACGCGCCAGCAGCCGC